rnacentral:rRNA from 1 species
CCGGGGGGGGGUGCUAUACAUGCAAGUCGAGCGAAUGGAUGGGAGCUUGCUCCCUGAAGUUAGCGGCGGACGGGUGAGUAACACGUGGGCAACCUGCCUGUAAGACUGGGAUAACUUCGGGAAACCGGAGCUAAUACCGGAUAACUUCUUUCCUCGCAUGAGGAAAGGUUAAAAGACGGUUAUGCUGUCACUUACAGAUGGGCCCGCGGCGCAUUAGCUAGUUGGUGAGGUAACGGCUCACCAAGGCGACGAUGCGUAGCCGACCUGAGAGGGUGAUCGGCCACACUGGGACUGAGACACGGCCCAGACUCCUACGGGAGGCAGCAGUAGGGAAUCUUCCGCAAUGGACGAAAGUCUGACGGAGCAACGCCGCGUGAGUGAAGAAGGUCUUCGGAUCGUAAAACUCUGUUAUCAGGGAAGAAUAAGUACCGUGUAACUAACGGUACCUUGACGGUACCUGACCAGAAAGCCACGGCUAACUACGUGCCAGCAGCCGCGGUAAUACGUAGGUGGCAAGCGUUGUCCGGAAUUAUUGGGCGUAAAGCGCGCGCAGGCGGUUUCUUAAGUCUGAUGUGAAAUCUCGCGGCUCAACCGUGAGCGGUCAUUGGAAACUGGGAAACUUGAGUGCAGAAGAGAAGAGCGGAAUUCCACGUGUAGCGGUGAAAUGCGUAGAGAUGUGGAGGAACACCAGUGGCGAAGGCGGCUCUUUGGUCUGUAACUGACGCUGAGGCGCGAAAGCGUGGGGGAGCGAACAGGAUUAGAUACCCUGGUAGUCCACGCCGUAAACGAUGAGUGCUAAGUGUUAGAGGGUUUCCGCCCUUUAGUGCUGCAGCAAACGCAUUAAGCACUCCGCCUGGGGAGUACGGCCGCAAGGCUGAAACUCAAAGGAAUUUGACGGGGGCCCGCACAAGCGGUGGAGCAUGUGGUUUAAUUCGAAGCAACGCGAAGAACCUUACAGGUCUUGACAUCCUUAUGACCUCCCUAGAGAUAGGGAUUUCCUUCGGGACAUAAGUGACAGGUGGUGCAUGGAUGUCGUCAGCUCGUG